UCCAGGCCUCGGAGGGCUAAGCUGACCAGGGGGCUCUGCCAGUGGCUGGCUGAAGUUACACUGUCAUGCCAAGAACAAGACUUGACCCCCGGGCCUCAGACAAGCUCUGCGUGGGCCUGGUUCCAAGGACACAGGCAAAAGCAAUGGAAGAGAGUACAGAGCAGGGUUGGUGAGGGAUAUGGUUUGGGGAGAGGAGGUGUGGCCUGGGGAGUGGGAAUGUCCUUUGAGGGAAUCUCAAGAGCCAAGCAGAGAAGCUUGGAGGGCCAUAUUUGCAUACCCUGCGAGUGCCCCGGUAAAACCGGGACAUCCCGUUUGUUCACGUGAGAGCAUGGUGGCAAUUUUGGGCUGCGAUCUCAUGCUGCAAUCUCCCCCCCCCCCAAAAAAAGCACUUUUUCCAGAGCCACAAUCUUGUGUGGUGCCCCAAACUGCAGAUUUUUGCAUGCUGUGCUCUCAUGUGAGAGCCCCUCCUCCAGUGCAUAUUUUGGGCUCUGUGAUCUCAUGGGAGCACAGCCACAAUGAUAUGCGUCCCGGUUUUGAGAUUCAGUGUGUUGGAGGGUGUGCAUUUGCCUCCACCCUAAUUAGGGGUGCUCACAACCCUGAAGUCAGACCCCACAGCUUUGCAUGAGCAAGGGACAUUCCACAAUGUUGCAAAGGUUCCUGGGUAGUCUGUCCAUACGAUGCUGCCUUAUGUGAAGUGACAGCAUCGUUCCAUCUUGUGCGCCUCUGUAUCUCAUGAGACUGGAAGAGUUUCUCCAUCAGGCCUGUGCUUUGGGCUGGGAGGACGCCUGACUAGGAGGUCCACAAGUGAUGCUCCCACUUUGCCAUAAAAGGAGUAGUUAGAAGCAGAAUAAAUCACUGAAGCGGAAGGGUUUGCAAUUGUUUUUGAUAUAGAGGCGGAUGGUGACGCAUUAAACUGAAACAUGUCAUACUUUCUUUUGGUUUUGCUGAUAAGAAUCAACGUUACAGAGGAAGUCGCUAUCAAGUGGAAGAACUCCAGCAUUUGUGCAAUUCUAAACAGGGUGCAGACUCUAAGGACAAGGGCUCGAUAAAGAAAGUAAAACACGAAAUGAA